GCAAAGUAGGAAGUAUCAUCUAGUGACCUGCUGCUACACGGGCAGGUUUUUUUUGUUGUUGGCGUGCCGAUCAGAGGAUCGCCGGGCACAACAAACCGAAACACGCUUCUUCUAAAACCGUAAAAUAACUCUUUGACAUUUUGAUUCGAGAAUAAGAAUCGUGGGCUUUCACGAGAACACCUAGCCCACACUUUAUGCUUUCUGGCAGACAGUCGAGUCGACUUGCACAGCAGCGCUUUAGCAUUUUUUUUCUUUAUUCCGUUUUUUUCUUUCUUUUUUCUUUUUUUCAAAAAAAGUUUUGAAAACAGGGUUGGAAAUGUCCCAAAGAGGACAAAAUCACACGAAUGGCUCGACCACCAUAACUGAGCGAGGGGAAGGCGGAGAGUCGCAACCCAGUGGCGGAACAGACUCCGAUCCAAGCCGGUCCGAGAACCGCCAAGCCGGCGAAGGGGACCAAAUGUGGGGAGGGAUUGUAACUACAAAUAGGGUCCCUGGUCAAGUGCAAGCGGCCCCGCGAUUUAGUGCGCUGUCCGCAUCGUCAAGCGGAUAUCAUUCACUCGACAUUUCCCUUCCAAACUCCCCCUUUAUGACACAUAACAAGUCGACACAGACCCCCAGUCCGUCUAGUCAAGUAAUUGCCCAUGCACAACAGCGACUGUCCCAGGGGCAGGAGAACCUGCGAGAUUAUGACACGCGACGAGCCCCUGUCCCCUUCUUUAGAACGUGGACGCUGUCGAUGCUGCCGGACAUGCGGCCAGAGAUGCUGGUCGCACAAGAGCUACGGCGCAUCGGUGACAAGUUCAAUGAUAUCUACAUGAAUGGGUGGACACUGAUAUUAACAUCCAUUACCCCGGGGAUCUGAGCCUGGCGUUGAGCGGAUGGCGCUGCAUUCGUCGCAGCCAAGGCCAAAUGGGGAGAAGCCAAGACCUCCAUCUAGAACAUUCUGUUCACUCUGCCGUCGACGGUAACAUGCAAGGAAGGUUCAGACAGAAGAAUGAAUAGACCUUCGGGACGUCAGUGCGACCUGCCUCCCAUCUUCAGGUUUUAUUUAACUUGGAUCCUCUCUCUUCUAGCAGAAAUUUUCCAUUCAGUUGCGGCAGGUUUUGAAGAAGCUCAACAAAACCCACCCGCCCUCCCGGCGGCACUUUGGUCCUGUCAGAGACACAUGGAGAAGAGCAUCUCCUGCCCCCAGCCACGUGAAAUCGGAGGCUUUACACCUUUACAUUCGUCCCCAUGCUGUUAGUAGCACAGAAGGUGCUCUGGAUCUUCUUAGACUCACCGUCUCACAGCUUUGCUGUACCUCUCCUGCGAAACUUGGUUCACCUACACACUUCCUCCAGGUAGCGUGCCUCUGCCUGCGCUGUCUGGCAGCCCCCAAUGCCGAAGGAAAAAAGAAAUUCGCUUGUGGCAAAGAGAGGUACUUCUUGUACGAUUUCCCAGCGACGCCCCCGAGGGGACCUAACCGGACACAUCGCACAAGGGAAAAGUUGUCUGAUUAUCUAAUAAUGACUACAAACAUUCAAAAUAAGAGGAAGUGAUAAACAGCAUCUUCUUUCCAAGAAAAAUGUCACUACAAAGGUUUAAUAUCGGGUGACUGGCAGCACGGCGACUCAGAAAGGCUUCCUCCUUCAAUGGUGACGCAUCGUUCAGGUGGCGGACGCUCUCGCCGGACAAGCCCUGCCCGCUGGUGGCGGUUUCUAAGACCAGGGCGACCAACCCGCAAAUGCUGAAGUUACUUUACUGUCUGGCAGGAUUCCCAGCGCUCAGUGUAAGCAGCACGGACCUGCCUGGGACUCACGCUGACUCACUGAGUCACCUGCCUCAAAUAACCAGCCAGUCGCUGGGCUGUUUAUUAGCUGAGUAGAGCAACGCAAAUGGCCCCACCAGGACUACAAACUGGUGGGGUCUGGGUGAUCUACAGGUAUGAGUGACCACAGCUCAGUAAUACAGAGUAUCAAUAGCCAGCUGAGGGGGGGGGCGCUGUGUGGGUCAGUGGGUUUGGAUGCAUGCUGUGCCUCUAUUUGCAGUGUGACUAGUUCAAACCCCAGAAUUGGCAGUGUGAUGUCACCGUUGGGCCCUUAGUGAGGCCCUUACUGUCACCGUUGGGCCCUUGGCGAGGCCCUUACUGUCAUCGUUGGGCCCUUGGCGGGGCCCUUGGCGAAGCCCUUAAUGUCACCGUUGGAUCAUUGGCGAGGCCCUUACCGUCAUCGUUGGGCCCUUGGCGGGGCCCUUAACGUUACUGUUGGGUCAUUGGCGAGGCCUUUAACGUCACCCGCUGGGCCCUUGGCGAGGCCCUUAACGUUACCGUUGGGUCAUUGGCGAGGCCUUUAACGUCACCGCUGGGCCCUUGGCGAGGCCCUUAACAUUACUGUUGGGCCCUUGGCGGGGCCCUUGGCGAAGCCCUUAACGUCACCGUUGGGUCAUUGGCGAGGCCUUUAACGUCACCGCUGGUCCCUUGGCGAGGCCCUUAACAUUACUGUUAGGCCCUUGGCGGGGCCCUUGGCGAAGCCCUUAACGUCACCGUUGGGCCCUUGGCGAGGCCCUUAACGUCACCAUUGGGCCCUUGGUGAGGCCCUUAAUGUCACCGCUGGGCCCUUGGCGAGGCCUUUAACGUCACCGCUGGGCCCUUGGCGAGGCCCUUAACGUCACCAUUGGGUCAUUGGCGAGGCCCUUGGCGAAGCCCUUAACGUCACCGUUGGGUCAUUGGCGAGGCCCUUACCGUCACCGUGGGGCCCUUGGCGGGGCCCUUAACAUUACUGUUGGGCCCUUGGCGGGGCCCUUGGCAAGGCCCUUAACGUCACCGUUGGGCCCUUGGCGGGGCCCUUAACCUCAACUGUUUCCUGCUUUCUCAUUAAAUUUAUGUUUCUUUGGAUAUAAGCAUCGGCUAAAUAAAUACACUUUGUAGGGCAAUUUAAAGUGUCAUUUGGUGAGUUGGGGAUGGGGGGGUGUUGGAGAGCUCAGGGGGAAGGGUUGGGGGGCGGGGCCCUUGCACAGGCUUUGACCUGUGCGUUUUAUUUAUUUGCUCUGCCCUCUUAUGCCUCAGCUCCUCAUUUUCAUAGAGGCCCCCCCCCCCCGCUCCGUGCUGAGUCUUUGUUGAGUGAAACCUUUUGAUCUGCCACUCAAAACCGCCACUUUAUUAACUGCCAACUCCUAUUUAGUGAUUGAUUGAGGGGCAAUUUGUUUCUGCCACAAAACAACCAUCCCACAAUGCACCACAAGUGGCGUAGGGAGCAUGGAGCUGACUCACGGCCUGCUCCUUAAACCUGGAGUCCUACUGCCACCCUCCCCAGCCAGAGUGCCGGCGUGCCGCACCCUUCAGUGAGAUACCGAAUGAAUUCUGUAAACAAUCUCCGGCUGUAAACACGCACGUCAUUUCUGGACAAGCGUGACCUGGCGAGCGGUGAGCUGGAGACACGUCGUCGCUCAUCGGCGAGAUCGGUGACUCAGCCAGAGUGCCAUUAAGAUGCGGCGACAGGAAUGAGGGAUACACAAACCACAUGCUUAGUGACCCCCCCCGAAGACUAGGCUUUGGGUUUUAUUGCCUUCCUUGUUUGUGUGUUUGUGCGUGCGUUUGUGUGUGCGUGCGUUUGUGUGUGCGUGCGUUUGUGUGUGCGUGCGUUUGUGUGUGCGUGCGUUUGUGUGUGCGUGCGUUUGUGUGUGUGUGCGCGCAGGGCAUUCUCUGUUUUUCGCCUGUUUCCAGGAAGGACGGCGCAAACUUCAGCUCGAGUCUCUGGGUUCUCUUGAAUCUGACAGACUCCUCUAUGCAAUGAGUGUCACUUCUACUGUCAGCCUGGUGAGCAAAAGAAUAUAUAAACAAGCCUGAAUUUGCAGACAUCUGCUUCCUUAAAAGAAACGGAGAUGUUACCAGUGAAAUUACAGGGCUCUCGGAGCUAAAACAGGACGCAAUUUCGUUGCUUUAUUUGAAUAUGGUUUAAUCAGAGAAUAAUAUCUGCCAUGACAUUAUUUCGUUCUCCUCCUUAGCAUCGGCAGAUGAUUGGUGGAUUCACGUGUCUGUGAUAACAGCUGAAAAACGCAUCAGCCUGCGCGGAUUAUUGAACUUCGCUGGGUAAUUACUAUCUGAACGAGCGGUGUAAUGCUCGCACACGUCAGAGCGAGGCCGUCCAGCCACACCUGCGGGGGCCGUGAAGACACAAGCAGCACAGCAAAAGACCUUGUUCUUCCGGUCCUGUUGACAAUGUCCGACCGGUGGGGACAGGCAAUCACGCCAAUCUGGCCUCGGGGGAGGGCGGGGCCCAGCACCCUACAUCUGAACCGUGUCAGCUCCCCCCCGCGACCCUGAGGGGUGACAGCACGUCAGUGGCGUUCCUGGUACUUUCCUGAUUGUGAGUCAGCGGCACAGUCCUCUUAACCCUUUCAGUGCCAAGUAGCAAAAGUCCCAAACCUUUAAAGGCAGGUUACUGGGCGGGACAGCAGCAUGUGACCUGCUCUGGAAAGUGAAAGGUGUCAUUAGCACAGAGCUACAGAGCCCUGGCUGUGCAUGAUUAUCUGCCGCCGCUUCCGCCUCUGCUGUUCUUGUUCCCAAGAGGAGCUAAGAGACAGCAAAACACACUCUGGGGCAUUUGGCUGUCACAGGCUUAGCGCCACCUCCCCCGAAAUGUGGGAAGAAGCGGGAUCUUCUUUCAGGAGCAGGUAGGAAUCAGCACGUGGGCUGAUCUAUCGCAGUCAGAGUCACCGGCGCCACCCCAGACUGCGUCACAUAACUCGCUGGGCCAGUUCUGUGUCACAGCUCGUUUUUUUUAGGAGAGUAUAAAACCCAACUGUGGGGGGUGAGGCUCAGUCUGGAAACUUCUAUGAGGCGACGUGCAGUGAUCCAGCAGCAUGUGGCAUGUUUUCCGGGUGCUGACCCCUGCUCCGGCUGUGCUGGGGGGGCAUGCAGUUUUCUUCUGAUCACAAGUAGGGGGACAAAGUAGGGGUGUAGUGGAGGGGUAAAUGCACGUAAUUGCUGUUUAUAAACCUUGCUAAUUACAAGACAGUGUUCAACUGGUAAAUGUCGUUUUACCAUCAUUUACCACAUUAGCCUACAACACACCACACUGACCCUUUCAACAAACUGGCACAUGUCCCUCCCUGUCCCUCUCCCCCUGACUCCCCCUCCCUCUCACCCUUGUCUUCCCUCUCUUUUCCCCUCCCUCACUCUUCCCUGUCCCUCACCCCCUCCCUCUCUCUCCUCCUCCCCCCACCUCCUUUCCCCUUCUCCCUUCCUGUCCCCUUCUCACCUUUGUCUUCCCUCUCCCCCUCCCUCUCCUACUCCCCCUUCCUGCUUCAUUCCUCAACAACGCAGCCAGUGCUUACAAGCAAUCAGUGACAGGUUCUGCACUGUGCACGCAGAGCAAUGGACAUCAGACAGCAUUUCGCAAGAAUCACAAGAAGCCACAGAUGGAGGGAAAAAAUGGGGAGCUGCCAGAUCCACGCAAAUAGGUGGUGGAAUGUAGCCAGUCAACCACAGAGAGGCCUUGGAAUGUGUCCCGGCAGGAUCCAGCACAAAUCGAGUGCUGCUUACAGCCUCUGCCUCACACCACAAUCUCUAUAUUAUGCUAGAAACCUGAGAAGUUUUGGAAUGAUACUGCAGACCUGGGUGCCCCUAGAACAUCAACCACCCCCCCCCCCCCAGCUAGCUAGCAUUUUGGUAUCUGCGCUCAUCCACCCCAAUGCAACCCACUGAGUGGGAUGUCCAACAAGUAUGACUUUAAAUGGCCGAUGGGGUUUAGAUCAAAUGGUUAGAUGGACUUUAGAGAUGAGUAAUCAGCCUUUUACACUCCCACACUCCCAACAUGGGUUAGCGACCAGCACGAGGUGCUACGUGUGAACGGGCCAAUGACACCCCAGACGCUCAUGCAACACGCUUCCGAUCUCCUGGUGACAUGGGGACGCUCUGCUGCGUUCUGGGGCCUGAAUCAUGAAGCAAGAUCCGUGGUUUAGCUAGUUACCUUGUCGGAUUUAAGGUUCACCACCUUAAACAGAAUUUAUCUUAGUUCAUUUACAUACAGCCCAGACCACCUUAAAUCCUACUUAGCCAACAAAUCUCACUUCGUGAUACAGGCCCCUGGUCACCGAGAGCAGAAGAAUCGUUCUCCAGAUGCUCUGAAAUCCUCAGUUCCAAAGUUAAAGAGAAGUGCAUCUAGUAUUACAGUCUCCAGAACCUCAAAGCCACAUCUGAGCUCAGUUCUGGAAAGCCUGGAAGAGAGGAAAUUGCCUGAGAUGUACACUAUCCCACGUACUGUUUCAAAUCCUUAAU